rnacentral:tRNA from 1 species
UCCCUGGUGGCUCAGCUGGUAAAGAAUCCGCCUGCAGUGUGGAAGACCUGGGUUCAAUCCCUAGGUUGGGAA